AUUGAACGCUGGCGGCAUGCCUUACACAUGCAAGUCGAACGGCAGCGGGGACUUCGGUCCGCCGGCGAGUGGCGAACGGGUGAGUAACGUAUCGGAACGUACCUUUCAGUGGGGGAUAACGUAGCGAAAGUUACGCUAAUACCGCAUAUUCUGUGAGCAGGAAAGCAGGGGAUCGCAAGACCUUGCGCUGAUUGAGCGGCCGAUAUCAGAUUAGCUAGUUGGUGAGGUAAAGGCUCACCAAGGCGACGAUCUGUAGCGGGUCUGAGAGGAUGAUCCGCCACACUGGAACUGAGACACGGUCCAGACUCCUACGGGAGGCAGCAGUGGGGAAUUUUGGACAAUGGGGGCAACCCUGAUCCAGCCAUGCCGCGUGAGUGAAGAAGGCCUCGGUUGUAAG
rnacentral:rRNA from 1 species